AUAAUAUCAUCAUACAGCGCACACAUGAAUUAGCUUAUUCUGGGAAUCUUAACACCGAUUUGAGACCACAAAGAAUAGUGUUUCUAAGAGUUAACGGUAAUGAUGUGCUCCACAAAUAUCUGAGCUCCGUUUCUACUUAACCAAUUUGUGCCGAUUUGUUUUUCAAUGGCCGUUUUCACUUUUACACAAGCAGCCACAGUUCCCAAACUGAGCAUUUAAAGCCUAAUAUUGGCAACAGAAUGAAUAGAUCCCAACUCAAGUGGAAGACAUCUGUAUUCUGGCAUUGGAGUUUAUGUCUCACAGUGGUCAGAAUUCUCGAGGAAUGUACUGUGUGCGAGAUCAGAUGAGUUUAUUUCUUAACAAUCAAUCUAAAUGAAGUUAAAAAUCACAAUCUAAAUGAAGGCUGUAACAUGAAUGAUGCAGACUAAUCGGAUGCAUUGUUUUGUAAAAGGGGUCUACGAUAAAACACUUCAUAAAUCGUGAUUUAUGCGAAAGAUUAUCUUAAAGUGUUCACAAAAAAUAGUAAACAGGGGUGACAAAAUGAAGCACAAUCAAUAGAGAGUUGUUAGUAUCCAACAUGUUAUUGGAGCCGAUCUCUGAAUGGAUGCCAGAUGUUUAAUGCAGAGAUAUUGCAUGGGUAGAUGAUGCGGUGAAUAAUUUUCACAUGUAUGCAAUUAUACUUUUCGUUUUUUCUUGCGUUAACAAAGAAAUUAUUAAUACCUUACCUAGGCUAUUCCUUAUAUCUCAGCUAACCAUUACGUGUUUUAAUCAAAAUAAUUCUCUCCAGCUCAAGACUAUCAGAAAAAUCCAUUAAUUUCUAUUAUCAGGUUCUUGAGUGAAAGGUUGACAAAGCUCUUCACGAAAACUAAUCUGUAUUCGCAUUAACACCGCGUUGUGAAUGAUUUCCUCGCCUGCAUUUUGACCUUUACACCGUUUACUCUUAAGAAUAGAGUAGUGCAAUUUGCAUAUAAAAUUAGUUGGAUCAUUCCGUGAUCCUGUUCAGCUCAAUUGUUUGAUGAAGAAUAUUGGGCUGAAAGAAAUUUUGUAGCAUUUCUAAUGGUGGUUUUACCACGUUGUUCAAGUAAGUUUGUGCGGUGAGGUUUUAAUGGGGACUGCCAUUGAUGUUCCUGACUGGAAGUUUUAGAGUGUUGACAAGAAUUGAUUUGCACACAUUUUAAUUAAAAUAUAAUUUCAGCGCAGAUUUAACGUUUGCAUUUAACUAACAAAAUGUUCGACUUGUUUUAUAUUCCAAAAACAGGAGUAACAACGGGAAAGGGUGACCGCCAAUCGCUUCGCAAUGCGCACAUUCAAUGCUUUGUAGAAAAUCCAAAAUUGUCUCAAUACUGUCUCGUUGAUUUUAAGAUGGAAUCUUUCCACGGAAAGCUUUUUUUUAAAUCUUGGUUUGUGUUCCUGCGCUAGAUUCACCCCGUGUCCCCUAUUCAAACGACGUGUCCAGCUAAUGCUUAAAAAAAAGGCGAGGAAAGGUCAAUAACCUACAAGCUUUGGGACUAAUCGUUGUUUCAUCUCAUUUGGGACCGUUGUUUCGAGGGUUUAAAGUAACGCCGACUCCAUUGAAAGGUCUCACUGUUUUGUCGAACCGUUUGCUGAAUGCGACAGAACCCUAGCCCGUGUUGUCUUAGUCUCAGAAUGAACGUUGGGUUAAUGUUAUUUUAUUUUUGCAGGUAACGUUGUUAUUUGGCACGAGAUUACUUCAUUGCCGAUACAAGGGAAUACAGUUUCCAGUAGAUGUUCUGAUGGGUACCGUUUGGAAUCUGGUCUUUAAAAAGUUUUGCAAAAUGCCAAUUUUGCUUGAUUGCUAUUACCACGACAGUAAAAGCCCAUUAACAGGAAGAAAGGUUACCUUCUGAAAUGCUCCAUCGGGUAUUUUAAGUGCUGCUUGUCGUUGUAUGUAUUUAUUUCAACCAACCUGCAUGAAGGUGCAAAUCAACUACAACGAUGUAUCAGAACCAAU